rnacentral:rRNA from 1 species
AACGAACGCUGGCGGCAUGCCUAACACAUGCAAGUCGAACGAGACCUUCGGGUCUAGUGGCGCACGGGUGCGUAACGCGUGGGAAUCUACCCUUGGGUUCGGGAAUAACUUCUCGAAAGGGAGUGCUAAUACCGGAUGAUGUCGUAAGACCAAAGAUUUAUCGCCCAAGGAUGAGCCCGCGUAGGAUUAGCUAGUUGGUGAGGUAAAGGCUCACCAAGGCGACGAUCCUUAGCUGGCUGAGAGGAUGAUCAGCCA